rnacentral:lncRNA from 1 species
GCGUAGAAGAUCCAAAAGAAGCUUUUCAAAAGGUGCGCCCCCCAUUUGAGGGGGCAAACCGCAUUUCUGUAACUGCAUGGCUCGUCCGAGCCCACGUUUUCUUAUUUUUUCAGCAAAGUAAAACUCAGUUUAAAGUUGCGAUCGUGUAUCCUCCGACCUGCAUUGCAAACUUCACGCAUCAAGAAAGGACAUCAAAGGACUCCGUACCCGAGUGCAUCGGAAGAAACUCACAAAAAGAGAGAGACAGAAAAAUCCUAAAACUCCAGUUCCUCUCUGUUCAAAGCUCCAUGGACUCGAGUGAUGGUGUAUGGAUUCAGUCAUAAAGUGCAGCGUAACGGCCAGCUGAACCUGAUGGGGGCCGUGUGUUUCCCGCUGGACGCCUCUCCGUCCAACACCGGCCUCACUUCUCCACCCACAGCCAACCAGUAUCCUAGCAUCAUUAUCCCCACCGACAAAGUGCACGACAAAUUGGGCGUGUCUCCCCCUCCUGGAGCAGUGCUGGUGUUGCACUCGUUGCUUCUUGAGUUUCCAUUGUCGAUGGCCUUCGCUGAACAGCUGCUAACCUACAGUGUAGGAGAAACCAUAGAGCGCUCUGAGGAUGAGCUGGACACGGUGCCCACUUCUGUGCUCAUUCAGGUCGUGGAGCUGCUAGAACUGUACUGAGUGAGAAAACAACCGUCCUCAAGCCAAAAUCUCCAGAGAAGACCAAACCCGAUGAAAAAGACCCUGAGAAAUCUCCUGCCAAAAAUCUUGAAGGUCAUUAAUAUUACUUUUCUGAUUUCUGAUUUUAUGUGGAAAUUAUAAACACAAACCUCAUAUAUGCUCAUCUAAAUGUAAAAGAUGUUAAAGGGACAGUUAAAUACUGAAAAUUCCUCAUCC